UUAAGUUUUCUGCAAUCAUAGAUGUCCUUCUAUCUCUUGUGUUGCAUGUUGUAGCUUCCUUUCCCAAUUGAUCCUAAUCUCCAAAACCGUAAUCUCUAUGUGCCAAGCCGUGAUUUACCAAAACGUGAUUGAAUACUUUCCUGGUAGUGUAGCGCCUCCUUUUAUAGAAAAGAUAAUUACUCCCUCCGGUCCUAUUUAUAAGAGAAUUUUGGGUCAACAAAAGUUGAUAUAUCUAGUUAAAAAUUCAGUCCAAAUACAUUCACUUUUGUUG
rnacentral:lncRNA from 1 species